rnacentral:rRNA from 1 species
UAGGGAAUCUUCGGCAAUGGGGGGAACCCUGACCGAGCAACGCCGCGUGAGUGAAGAAGGUUUUCGGAUCGUAAAGCUCUGUUGUUAAGGAAGAACGAGUGUGAGAAUGGAAAGUUCAUACUGUGACGGUACUUAACCAGAAAGGGACGGCUAACUACGUGCCAGCAGCCGCGGUAAUACGUAGGUCCCGAGCGUUGUCCGGAUUUAUUGGGCGUAAAGCGAGCGCAGGCGGUCAAUUAAGUCUGAUGUGAAAGCCCCCGGCUCAACCGGGGAGGGUCAUUGGAAACUGGUUGACUUGAGUGCAGAAGGGGAGAGUGGAAUUCCAUGUGUAGCGGUGAAAUGCGUAGAUAUAUGGAGGAACACCAGUGGCGAAGGCGACUCUCUGGUCUGUAACUGACGCUGGGGUUCGAAAGCGUGGGUAGCAAACAGG